rnacentral:rRNA from 1 species
UCCGGUUGAUCCUGCCAGAGGUUACUGCUAUCAGGGUUUGAUUAAGCCAUGCAAGUUAUGUGUUUUUUGUAAACACGGCGAACUGCUCAGUAACACGCGGAUAAUCUGCCCUCAGGUUUGGGAUAACCCCGGGAAACUGGGGAUAAUACCAAAUGUUUCAAGGUUGCUGGAAUGCUCUUUGAUUGAAAGCUUCGGUGCCUGAGGAUGAGUCUGCGGCCUAUCAGGUUGUAGUGGGUGUAAUGUACCUACUAGCCAGCGACGGGUACGGGUUGUGAGAGCAAGAGCCCGGAGAUGGAUUCUGAGACAUGAAUCCAGGGCCUACGGGGUGCGGCAGGCGCGAAACCUUUACAAUGCGCGAAAGCGCGAUAAGGAGACCCUGAGUGCUAGCACAUAGUGCUGGCUGUCCAGCUGUUUAAAAAGCAGUUGUUAGCAAGGGCCGGGCAAGACCGGUGCCAGCCGCCGCGGUAACACCGGCGGCCCGAGUGGUAACCGAUUUUAUUGGGCUUAAAGCGUUCGUAGCCGGUUUAGUAAGUUUCUUAGGAAAUCUAGCAGCUUAACUGUUAGACGUCUAAGAGAUACUGCUAUGACUUGGGACCGGGAGAGGUAGGAGGUACUCCAAGGGUAGGGGUGAAAUCUUGUAAUCCCUGGGGGACCAUCGAUGGCGAAGGCAUCCUACCAGAACGGGUUCGACGGUGAGGGACGAAAGCUGGGGGCACAAACCGGAUUAGAUACCCGGGUAGUCCCAGCUGUAAACGAUGCUCGCUAGGUGUCAGAUACGGUGCGUCCGUAUUUGGUGCCGUAGGGAAACCGUGAAGCGAGCCGCCUGGGAAGUACGGUCGCAAGGCUGAAACUUAAAGGAAUUGGCGGGGGAGCAC